rnacentral:rRNA from 1 species
GACGAACGCUGGCGGCGUGCUUAACACAUGCAAGUCGAACGAAAAGGCUCCGUUGGGGGUACUCGAGUGGGGAACGGGUGGGUAACACGUGAGUAACCUGCCCACGACUUCGGGAGAGCUAGAUGACACUAGGGCUAAUACAGAACGGGAAUGCUGGCUGCAUGGUGGGGGUUGGACAGCUUCGGCGGUUUGGGAUGGACUCGCGGCUUAUCUGCUAGUUGGUGGGUUAGUGGUUUACCAAGGCUUAGACGGGUGGCCGGCCUGAGGGGGGGACCGGCCACAUUGGGACGGAGAAACGGCCCAGACCCCUACGGGGGGCAGCGGUGGGGAUUAUUGCAAAAGGGGCAGAAGCCUGAUGCAGCAACGCCGCGGGCGGGAGGACGGCCUUCGGGUUGAAAGCCGUGUUCAGCAGGAGCGAGGCGUGUGGUGACGGUACCUGCAGAAGAAGCACCGGCUAACUACGUG